ensembl:snRNA U6 U6 spliceosomal RNA
GUGCUUGCUUUGGCAGCACAUAUACUAAAAUUGGGAUAAUACAGAGAUUAUCAUGGCCCCUGCAAAAGGACAACACGCAAAUUCUUGAAACAUUCCAAAUUUUU